rnacentral:rRNA from 1 species
UGGGGAAUUUUGGACAAUGGGGGCAACCCUGAUCCAGCCAUCCCGCGUGUGCGAUGAAGGCCUUCGGGUUGUAAAGCACUUUUGGCAGGGAAGAAACAGCCUGGGAUAAUACCCCGGGCGACUGACGGUACCUGCAGAAUAAGCACCGGCUAACUACGUGCCAGCAGCCGCGGUAAUACGUAGGGUGCAAGCGUUAAUCGGAAUUACUGGGCGUAAAGCGUGCGCAGGCGGUUCGGAAAGAAAGGUGUGAAAUCCCAGGGCUUAACCUUGGAACUGCACUUUUAACUACCGAGCUAGAGUACGUCAGAGGGGGGUAGAAUUCCACGUGUAGCAGUGAAAUGCGUAGAGAUGUGGAGGAAUACCGAUGGCGAAGGCAGCCCCUGGGAUGAUACUGACGCUCAUGCACGAAAGCGUGGGGAGCAAACAGGAUUAGAUACCCUGGUAGUCCACGCCCUAAACGAUGUCAACUAGCUGUUGGGGUUUUAUUAACCUUAGUAGCGCAGCUAACGCGUGAAGUUGACCGCCUGGGGAGUACGGUCGCAAGAUUAAAACUUAAAGUGAAUUGACGGGGGUCAUAGCUGUUUU